GAUGAACGCUAGCGGCAGGCCUAACACAUGCAAGUCGAGGGAGAAGCCCUUCGGGGCAGAAACCGGCGCACGGGUGCGUAACGCGUAUGCAACCUACCUUUCACAGGGGGAUAGCCCGAAGAAAUUUGGAUUAAUACCCCAUAAUAUUAUUGGAUGGCAUCAUUUGAUAAUUAAAAUUACGAUGGUGAAAGAUGGGCAUGCGUCCUAUUAGCUAGUUGGAGUGGUAACGGCACCCCAAGGCUACGAUAGGUAGGGGUCCUGAGAGGGAGAUCCCCCACACUGGUACUGAGACAGGGACCAGACUCCUACGGGAGGCAGCAGUGAGGAAUAUUGGUCAAUGGUCGGAAGACUGAACCAGCCAUGCCGCGUGCAGGAAGAAUGCCUUAUGGGUUGUAAACUGCUUUUAUAUGGGAAGAAUAAGGAGUACGUGUACUUNGANGACGGUACCA
rnacentral:rRNA from 1 species